rnacentral:rRNA from 1 species
GACGAACGCUGGCGGCGUGCUUAACACAUGCAAGUCGAACGGAAAGGCCCUGCUUUUGUGGGGUGCUCGAGUGGCGAACGGGUGAGUAACACGUGAGUAACCUGCCCUUGACUUUGGGAUAACUUCAGGAAACUGGGGCUAAUACCGGAUAGGAGCUCCUGCUGCAUGGUGGGGGUUGGAAAGUUUCGGCGGUUGGGGAUGGACUCGCGGCUUAUCAGCUUGUUGGUGGGGUAGUGGCUUACCAAGGCUUUGACGGGUAGCCGGCCUGAGAGGGUGACCGGCCAAAUGGGGACGGGGAUACGGCCCAGACUCCUACGGGAGGAAGCAGGGGGGAAUAUUGCACAAGGGGCGGAAGCCUGAUGCAGCAACGCCGCGGGCGGGAUGACGGCCUUCGGGUUGUAAACCGCUUUCGCCUGUGACGAAGGGGGAGGGACGGUAAUGGGUAAAGAAGCACCGGCAAACUACGU